AAGUCGUAACAAGGUUUCCAUAGGUGAACCUGCCAUUAACACGUAUCCAAACGUUAAAAACCCCCCCGUGAACAUUCAUCCUGCUCUUGUAACCCGCGAAGCUUGCAAUCUCUGGUAAUUCAUAGCCUGGAAAGUAGUUGUGAUUCAGAGACCUCUGGCCCGUGCGAAUAUUGGAACAGUUACAGUUUUGAGCGGUAGUUCUAUAGGCCUUGUUUCCCCAAGCAGUCAGUGUCGCUUCACGAUUCUUGUAGACCGCAUCUCGCGGGCAGGAGCUAGGCCAAAGGGUCCCCAUGCCCCCUUACAACCCCACAGUUUAAUGUGAAGCUCAAUGUAAGACAUUGGGUAAAAGAACCGAACAACUGUUAACAAUGGAUAUCUUGGUUCUCA
rnacentral:misc_RNA from 1 species